rnacentral:rRNA from 1 species
AUUGAACGCUGGCGGCAUGCCUUACACAUGCAAGUCGGACGGUAACAGGUCUUCGGAUGCUGACGAGUGGCGAACGGGUGAGUAAUACAUCGGAACGUGCCCGAUCGUGGGGGAUAACGAAGCGAAAGCUUUGCUAAUACCGCAUACGAUCUACGGAUGAAAGCAGGGGACCGCAAGGCCUUGCGCGAACGGAGCGGCCGAUGGCAGAUUAGGUAGUUGGUGGGAUAAAAGCUUACCAAGCCGACGAUCUGUAGCUGGUCUGAGAGGACGACCAGCCACACUGGGACUGAGACACGGCCCAGACUCCUACGGGAGGCAGCAGUGGGGAAUUUUGGACAAUGGGCGAAAGCCUGAUCCAGCCAUGCCGCGUGCAGGAUGAAGGCCUUCGGGUUGUUAACUGCUUUUGUACGGAACGAAAAGACUCUGGUUAAUACCUGGGGUCCAUGACGGUACCGUAAGAAUAAGCACCGGCUAACUACGUGCCAGCCGCCGCGGUAA